CCUAGUCAAUUACUUGCACCUGCAUUUCUCAGCUUGUCACACUCCCCCUCUCUUUUAGGGUCUGGAAAUAACUGGGAGAGAAAAGCCUUGUUGAAAGAAGACAUCUCCAGGGAAAGCAUGCUGCUUCUUCAAAGACUCCAAUUUCAGAUGGAAAAAUACAUGGAAGCAGAGAUGGACCUUCCGGAGUUUUAGAUAAACCACUGUAGCUCAGUCAGAGGUCCAAUUAUGAUGAUACCCACACAGCCCUGUCCUCCCACAGCCUACAUCCAAUCAUCUGAGGAAGCUGAGUGGCACUGCGUUUAUUCACCACAGAUGCUACAGAAUCAGCAGGAGGGAAGACUGUGAAAAGGAAAAUUAUACUCUUUUAAGGUAAGUUACAGUGAGUAGAUACAUUAAGCACCCGUACUAGUGAAGCAAUCAACAUAAUCAUAUUUACAUUAAUUAGAACAUAAAUGAAACAAACCAAAUUUCUUUAUUGUGCUAUUUUUAUGUUUAACCUGGCAUGGAAACAUAGCAUCUGGGGAGAUUCUUUCUCAACUUGAAUACAUAAUCAACACAAAAAUAAUAGGAUAAAAACUUUAGAAGGAAAUUAGAGUAAUAUGAUAACAUGAAUUUAUAAAAUUGAGCCAUCUUAAGAGGGAAAAGUUUGCUUUGGUAAGAGAAGAAAGAUCCAGUAAACUUUCUCUACCAUGACUAAGAGAAUGAAAUGAACCAGAGGAUUUUGAUACAAUUAUUUUUUGGAUUUCAUUUUUACUUUUUGGCAGAGGUGGAAGGUAGGGAGAUAAUUGUCUCCCUACCUUAGAAAUGUUCAAGGCCUGUUGCCUUAAGAUUUCUAAAACACAUCUCUAAUAUGAGUGAGAGUUGAAUGCAUUACUGCAUAAUUAUCUAGGCCUUCAU
rnacentral:lncRNA from 1 species